CUGUCUCCUGCUUCAACGGUGUUUGGACGAACAG
rfam:Myotis brandtii contig299820, whole genome shotgun sequence.